rnacentral:lncRNA from 1 species
AAGAAACAAGCCACAUGGAAAGAAAUAGAUUGACAUCAAGUUUAAUGCAAUGGUGUUCUAAGAAAAAAACAAUAAUGCUCUAAUAUUACUUUUAGAGGGAAUCUCUAACAAUGUGUUGAUUCGGAGCAUCUAAUAUUAUCAUUCCAGAGUAGUUUUAUUUUGGGUCAUGGUCUAAAUGAUGGCAUUGAAUUAAUCCCUCCGUCCUUUAGUUUGGAUAUUUCACUGUGUUGUCUUGUUUUAGGCCCCCUUUGGAUACACAAUGCUAAACUUUAGCACUCCAUUUGAGGGUGCUAAAGUUUAGCACUUGGGGUUGUUUGGAUACAGUGCUAAAGUUUAGCACAUUGGGUGAGAAAUGACUACAUUACCCUCAUUUAUGACUGGCUUGGGGAAAAGUGGAGAGGAGAGAGAGGGGGGCAGCAGGGGAAAAAAUGAGCUUGGGACCACUUUUAGCACCCAUUAGCACCUUUUAGCACCCCUUGGGUGUGCUAAAGAAAAUGGAGGUGCUAAACUUUAGCACACCCCUUUUAGCACCCCUGUUUGGGAGCCCAAGUGCUAAAAGGUGCUAAAAAGUGGGGUGCUAAAAUUUAGCACCCCUCUCCAAACGGGGCCUUAGUCGUAAACACGUACACAUAUCAAUAGAAGAUUGAUAGAUAAUUCUAGACCUUGCAUUUCAUAAGCAAGGAAAACAAACAGCAAACUUUUUCCAGAAACUAGCUAAUGCAGUACCUGCGUAGACGCUUGUACGUACACUAGGUCACUACAAGCACCUCGUUAUUAAUGGCAUAUUACCGACCACUAAAAAAGUUGCCAUAUUGACAAAAUACACGGGAUGUUAGACCUAUAGGAUUGCAUUAAGUCUGCUUUACCUCUUCACCUAUUUAAGUUUGACUACUUAGCCCUCACUUAUGAAACUAGCUAGGUGUCCUACCCCUCAACUAUCCAAAACCGUCUAAAUAAACCCCUCUGUAGCAGCUCUUAAGGUGAUUUUUUUUCCCUACAUGACACUACACAGACAGUGAUGUGGUGAUAAGAAUGUAGACCCAUCAUGCAAGAAUCAACACUUUCUCCACCGCUAAGCUCCAGUAAAUACUGAAGAACACCUCGUCAUCCACAACUCCAAUAACCAAUUGCAAGCCAUUGUUGCCGAGCUCCCUCCUAACAAGAUGAGGCUCAUCGGACCCUUCAUUCUCUCCCUUCAGGUCACACUCACCCUCAUCGACUUCCAGACCCACCAACUCUCAUCUCCUCUCGGACCUAUAUUGGUGAUAGAGUCACUGACAAGAUAUGGGUACUCCCUCCGUCCU